CCCUCUGGCCUCUCCUUCAGCAGCUUUGCCCUGUACUGGGUCCGUCAGGCCCCUGGGAAGGGGCUCAAGUGGGUCGCAGGGAUUUACAGCGGGGGCAGCUACACCUGGUACGCUCCGUCGGUCAAGGGUCGCUUCACGAUCUCGAGGGACGACGCGCAGAGCACGGUGACGCUGCAGAUGAGCGGCCUCGUGCCCGACGACACGGCCACCUACUACUGCACCAAAAGUGCUUAUGCUGGUGCUGUUAAUGCUG